UACGUAGGGUGCGAGCGUUGUCCGGAAUUAUUGGGCGUAAAGAGCUCGUAGGCGGUUUGUCACGUCUGCUGUGAAAUCCCGAGGCUCAACCUCGGGCCUGCAGUGGGUACGGGCAGACUGGAGUGCGGUAGGGGAGAAUGGAAUUCCUGGUGUAGCGGUGGAAUGCGCAGAUAUCAGGAGGAACACCGACGGCGAAGGCAGUUCUCUGGGCCGUAACUGACGCUGAGGAGCGAAAGCGUGGGGAGCGAACAGG
rnacentral:rRNA from 1 species